rnacentral:misc_RNA from 1 species
UUUUUUUUUUCCCUGUAAAUUCUCAGCCAUAGCAGAAUUAGCAAUCUGCUGCUCUCCCUCGUGAGUUUCUGACUCUCUCUCUGCAAACGACCCCGAAUGGGCCCAUCUUCUUCUUCUUUUUCAAAACUCAAUAAUCCAAUCUUCAAGAAUCAGAGAAAAACUUUAUUGUUUUCAUCUCUUUUCUCGCACCAGACACUGCCCACUUGCCUUUCAGUUUGACCCUUCUUUUUUUUUUUUUUAGUGGAAGAAAAUAUGAAGUGUUUUCAUUUCACCAACGGGGAGCGGCGAGAGGACGAAGAGGGAGGCGGCGGCGGCGGAGGUGGAGGCGACGUCGUUUCAAGGGUGGUCUCCAGAGUGUCGUGGGCUAGGUCGUUGAGUGUGGCGUCGAGUAGUGUGGACACGAGGCGGUCUGAGUUUGACUCUGAGUGUAACUCGUCGAGGGACUUGUCGGACUCGCUCGGGUUCUAUGAGUUCUUGUCUCAGCGGAGAGCUAAUGAUCUGCGAGUCUUCACUUUCGCGGAACUGAAAUCGGCUACCCGAGGGUUCAGCAGAGCUCUAUUGAUCGGCGAGGGAGGAUUUGGCUGUGUUUACAGAGGUGUUGUUAGGGUUCCUGAUUAUGAAAACGACGGUCUUGAUUCUAAGAUGGACGUUGCUAUAAAGCAGUUGAAUCGUCACGGUUUCCAGGGGCAUAAGGAAUGGAUAAAUGAGGUGAAUUUCCUGGGUGUAGUUAAGCAUCCGAAUCUUGUCAAGUUAGUGGGAUAUUGUGCUGAAGAUGAUGAAAGAGGGAUGCAACGGCUUCUAGUUUAUGAGCUUAUGCGUAACAAAAGCUUAGAGGAUCAUUUGUUGGCUCGAGCGCCAACCCCUCUUAUGUGGAUGACAAGAUUGAAAAUUGCCCAAGAUGCAGCUCGUGGAUUGGCAUACCUCCAUGAAGAAAUGGAUUUUCAGCUAAUAUUUCGAGAUUUUAAAACAUCAAAUGUUCUGCUAGAUGAGGACUUCAAGGCAAAGCUAUCAGAUUUUGGUUUGGCUAGGCAGGGACCUCCUGAAGGACUUGGACACGUUUCAACCUCUGUUGUGGGCACAGUUGGUUAUGCAGCUCCAGAGUAUGU